UACGGAGGGUGCAAGCGUUAUCCGGAUUCACUGGGUUUAAAGGGUGCGUAGGUGGGUAAGUAAGUCCGUGGUGAAAUCUCUGAGCUUAACUCAGAAACUGCCGUGGAUACUAUUUAUCUUGAAUAUUGUGGAGGUGAGCGGAAUAUGUCAUGUAGCGGUGAAAUGCUUAGAUAUGACAUAGAACACCAAUUGCGAAGGCAGCUCACUACACAGUAAUUGACGCUGAGGCACGAAAGCGUGGGGAU
rnacentral:rRNA from 1 species